rnacentral:rRNA from 1 species
AUUGAACGCUGGCGGCAGGCCUAACACAUGCAAGUCGAACGGUAACAGGAAGAAGCUUGCUUCUUUGCUGACGAGUGGCGGACGGGUGAGUAAUGUCUGGGAAACUGCCUGAUGGAGGGGGAUAACUACUGGAAACGGUAGCUAAUACCGCAUAACGUCGCAAGACCAAAGAGGGGGACCUUCGGGCCUCUUGCCAUCGGAUGUGCCCAGAUGGGAUUAGCUAGUAGGUGGGGUAACGGCUCACCUAGGCGACGUUCCCUAGCUGGUCUGAGAGGAUGACCAGCCACACUGGAACUGAGACACGGUCCAGACUCCUACGGGAGGCAGCAGUGGGGAAUAUUGCACAAUGGGCGCAAGCCUGAUGCAGCCAUGCCGCGUGUAUGAAGAAGGCCUUCGGGUUGUAAAGUACUUUCAGCGGGGAGGAAGGGAGUAAAGUUAAUACCUUUGCUCAUUGACGUUACCCGCAGAAGAAGCACCGGCUAACUCCGUG